rnacentral:rRNA from 1 species
UACGUAGGGCGCAAGCGUUGUCCGGAAUUAUUGGGCGUAAAGAGCUCGUAGGCGGUUUGUCGCGUCUGCUGUGAAAACCUAAGGCUCAACCUUGGGCUUGCAGUGGGUACGGGCAGACUAGAGUGCGGUAGGGGUGACUGGAAUUCCUGGUGUAGCGGUGAAAUGCGUAGAGACCCGGAGGAACACCAGUGGCGAAGGCGGCAUCCUGGUCUGUGACUGACG